rnacentral:rRNA from 1 species
UACGAAGGGGGCGAGCGUUGUUCGGAAUCACUGGGCGUAAAGGGCGCGUAGGCGGCCUCUCUUGUCGCGUGUGAAAGCCCCGGGCUCAACCUGGGAACGGCGCGCGAGACGGGGGGGGCUGGAGUUCGGGAGAGGAGCGUGGAAUUCCCAGUGUAGAGGUGAAAUGCGUAGAUAUCGGAAGGAACAUCAGUGGCGAAAGCGGCUUCCUGGUCCAGCACCGACGUCAGGCACGAAAGCGUGGGGAGCGAACAGG